rnacentral:rRNA from 1 species
UCGCUACUACCGAUUGAAUGGCUUAGUGAGCCGUUUGGACUGUUGUUUUUCCUUGGCAACUUGGAUUAACAUACGGGAAGAACGUCAAACUUGAUCAUUUAGAGGAAGGUG